AACGUAGGAGACAAACGUUAUCCGGAGUUACUGGGCGUAAAGGGCGUGUAGGUGGUUACGUAAGUCUGGCGUGAAAUUUCUCGGCUUAACCGAGGCAGGUCGUCGGAUACUGCGAGACUAGAGGACGGUAGAGGCGUGUGGAAUUCCGGGUGUAGUGGUGAAAUGCGUAGAGAUGUGGAGGAACACCGAUGGCGAAGGCAGCCCCCUGGGUUAACACUGACGCUCAGGCACGAAAGCGUGGGAGCAAACAGG
rnacentral:rRNA from 1 species